rnacentral:rRNA from 1 species
CAAUAGCGUAUAUUAAAGUUGUUGCAGUUAAAAAGCUCGUAGUUGGAUUUCUGGUGGGAGCGAUCGGUCUGGCGCUUAGCGCGAGUACUUGCAUCGUCUCCGGCCAUCCUUGGGGAGAGUCUGUCUGGCAUUAAGUUGUCGGGCAGAGGAUCCUCAUCGUUUACUGUGAAAAAAUUAGAGUGUUCAAAUCAGGCUUAUGCCGUUGAAUAUAUUAGCAUGGAAUAAUAAGAUAGGACUUUGGUACUAUUUUGUUGGUUUGCGCACCAAAGUAAUGAUUAAUAGGGACAGUUGGGGGUAUUCGUAUUCCGUUGUCAGAGGUGAAAUUCUUGGAUUUACGGAAGACGAACUACUGCGAAAGCAUUUACCAAGGAUGUUUUCAUUAA